AUUGAACGCUGGCGGCAGGCUUAACACAUGCAAGUCGAGCGGGGAAAGGUAGCUUGCUACCUGACCUAGCGGCGGACGGGUGAGUAAUGCUUAGGAAUCUGCCUAUUAGUGGGGGACAACAUUCCGAAAGGAAUGCUAAUACCGCAUACGCCCUACGGGGGAAAGCAGGGGAUCUUCGGACCUUGCGCUAAUAGAUGGGCCUAAGUCAGAUUAGCUAGUUGGUGGGGUAAAGGCCUACCAAGGCGACGAUCUGUAGCGGGUCUGAGAGGAUGAUCCGCCACACUGGGACUGAGACACGGCCCAGACUCCUACGGGAGGCAGCAGUGGGGAAUAUUGGACAAUGGGCGAAAGCCUGAUCCAGCCAUGCCGCGUGUGUGAAGAAGGCCUUUUGGUUGUAAAGCACUUUAAGCGAGGAGGAGGCUACUUGGAUUAAUACUCUAGGAUAGUGGACGUUACUCGCAGAAUAAGCACCGGCUAACUCUGUGCCAGCCGCCGCUGUAACAC
rnacentral:rRNA from 1 species